rnacentral:misc_RNA from 1 species
AUCAUAUUUUAUUAUAUAUACAAUAUAUUUCGUUUUAUAAGAGUGGGGUUUUAAAUACAAGUUUUUCGCGAGACCAUGACCAAAGGUCAGGUUCGCUAAAAUCGGUAAUGAUCCUUCCGCAGGUUCACCUACGGAAA